rnacentral:rRNA from 1 species
GUGGGGAAUAUUGGUCAAUGGGCGGGAGCCUGAACCAGCCAAGUCGCGUGAAGGAAGAAGGAUCUAUGGUUCGUAAACUUCUUUUGCAGGGGAAUAAAGUGCAGGACGUGUCCUGUUUUGUAUGUACCCUGAGAAUAAGGAUCGGCUAACUCCGUGCCAGCAGCCGCGGUAAUACGGAGGAUCCGAGCGUUAUCCGGAUUUAUUGGGUUUAAAGGGUGCGUUGGUGGUUUGAUAAGUCAGCGGUGAAAGUUUGCAGCUUAACUGUAAAAAUGCCGUUGAAACUGUCGGACUUGAGUGUAAAUGAGGUAGGCGGAAUGCGUGGUGUAGCGGUGAAAUGCAUAGAUAUCACGCAGAACUCCGAUUGCGAAGGCAGCUUACUAAGCUACAACUGACACUGAAGCACGAAAGCGUGGGGAUCAAACAGGAUUAGAUACCCCGGUAGUCC